UGUGUGUGUAGAUUAAACAUGAGAGCGGGCCAAAGGGACAUGGCAGCAGGUCAAAAUCAAAUACAAGAACAUUCUGCAGAAUGCAGUGAAAAAGAAUACCCACAGACAAGGCACGGGUGGUGGGUCACCAAAGGCUGACCUUACCCCAGCAGAGGACAUGGCCUUGGAGCUAAAUAAAGGCAGGCCCGUCUUAGAGGGGAUCCCUGGGGAAAGAGACUAGCAUAGGUUCCUCCCAAGAUGCCACCCGCUUCAUUCAAGUGCCUGGCAGCACUGUGUUCCUGUUAGAGCCACCAGCACAAGCACCAGACGAUGCUGAUCCAGUGAGUACUCC